AGUGAACGCUGGCGGUAGGCCUAACACAUGCAAGUCGAACGGCAGCACAGUAAGAGCUUGCUCUUACGGGUGGCGAGUGGCGGACGGGUGAGGAAUACAUCGGAAUCUACUUUUUCGUGGGGGAUAACGUAGGGAAACUUACGCUAAUACCGCAUACGACCUACGGGUGAAAGCAUGGGAUCUUUGGACCUUGCGCGAUUCAAUGAGCCGAUGUCGGAUUAGCUAGUUGGCGGGGUAAAGGCCCACCAAGGCGACGAUCCGUAGCUGGUCUGAGAGGAUGAUCAGCCACACUGGAACUGAGACACGGUCCAGACUCCUACGGGAGGCAGCAGUGGGGAAUAUUGGACAAUGGGCGCAAGCCUGAUCCAGCCAUACCGCGUGGGUGAAGAAGGCCUUCGGGUUGUAAAGCCCUUUUGUUGGGAAAGAAAAGCAGCAGGUUAAUACCCCGCUGUUCUGACGGUACCCAAAGAAUAAGCACCGGCUAACUUCGUG
rnacentral:rRNA from 1 species